rnacentral:rRNA from 1 species
UACGGGGGGGGUAAGCGUUGUUCGGAAUUACUGGGCGUAAAGGGCGCGUAGGCGGCCAACUAAGUCGGACGUGAAAUCCCUCAGCUUAACUGGGGAACUGCGUCCGAUACUGGAUGGCUUGGAUUUGGGAGAGGGAUGCGGAAUUCCAGGUGUAGCGGUGAAAUGCGUAGAUAUCUGGAGGAACACCGGUGGCGAAGGCGGCAUCCUGGACCAAUAUUGACGCUGAGGAGCGAAAGCUAGGGGAGCAAACGGG